rnacentral:rRNA from 1 species
CCUACGGGAGGCAGCAGUGAGGAAUAUUGGUCAAUGGCCGGGAGGCUGAACCAGCCAAGUCGCGUGAGGGAAGACGGCCCUACGGGUUGUAAACUUCUUUUGUCAGGGAGCAAGGUGCAGGUCGGGACCUGCUGUGAGAGUACCUGAAGAAAAAGCAUCGGCUAACUCCGUGCCAGCAGCCGCGGUAAUACGGAGGAUGCGAGCGUUAUCCGGAUUUAUUGGGUUUAAAGGGUGCGCAGGCGGGGGGACAAGUCAGCGGUGAAAUCGCGGGGCUCAACCCCCGAACGGCGGUUGAAACUGUGUCCCUUGAGUGCAGUAGAGGUAGGCGGAAUGCGUGGUGUAGCGGUGAAAUGCAUAGAUAUCACGCAGAACUCCGAUUGCGAAGGCAGCCUACCGGCGCGCAACUGACGCUCAUGCACGAAAGCGUGGGUAUCGAACAGGAUUAGAUACCCGAGUAGUC